AUUGAACGCUGGCGGCAGGCCUAACACAUGCAAGUCGAACGAGUGGCGGACGGGUGAGUAAUGUCUGGGAAACUGCCUGAUGGAGGGGGAUAACUACUGGAAACGGUAGCUAAUACCGCAUACCAUCGGAUGUGCCCAGAUGGGAUUAGCUAGUUGGUGGGGUAACGGCUCACCUAGGCGACGAUCCCUAGCUGGUCUGAGAGGAUGACCGGCCACACUGGGACUGAGACACGGUCCAGACCCCUACGGGGGGCAGCAGGGGGGAAUAUUGCACAAAGGGCGCAAGCCCUAUGCAGCCAUGCCGCGUGUAUGAAGAAGGCCUUCGGGUUGUAAAGUACUUUCAGCGGGGAAGCGUUACCCGCAGAAGAAGCACCGGCUAACUCCGUGCCAGCAGCCGCGGUAAUUC
rnacentral:rRNA from 1 species